AACAUGAUGGACUAUAGGACAGGACUGCUGCUUUUAACUCUCUGCUGGGCAGGAGAAGAUUUUCACUGAUUUUAAUUUAACAUAGCUUUUAUUUGUGUCAUCAGUUUAUUUCACUUGAUGUUUUUUUUAUCCUCUUGACAGGUGUUGAUGGUCAGACUCUGACAAAAUCUGAACCAGCGAUUGAAAGGCCUGGAGAAUCCCACAGAUUGACCUGUACAACAUCUGGAUUCACAUUCAGCAGUUACUAUAUGGCCUGGGUCAGACAGGCCCCUGGAAAAGGACUGAAGUGGAUCGCUUAUAUAAGCACAUCUAGUUCUUAUCUCUAUUACUCCCAGUCAGUCCAGGGGAGAUUCACCAUCUCCAGAGAUGACUCCAGCAGUAAACUCUAUCUGCAGAUGAACAGUCUGAAGACUUUUGUACACACAAAAGUCAGAGUAAAGCUUAACUUUAAGAACUGAUAAGAAUCAGCACAAAACACAUGCACCAGGAUGACAUCAGGGGAUAAUGCGGAUCAGGAUGUAUGUGUUCUUUAGUCACGUUAUGAGGUUUUCACACAUUAUUUUUGGUAUGUCAGGUUUUUGUUCCAGCAAUGAGUGGAGAUGCAGCACUGUGAUUACUUUGACUACUGGGGCCGUGGGACUGAAGUCACAGUAACAGAAACUACAACUCUGUUCCCUUUGGUUCAGUACAAACCUGGGGCUGCAGAUAGAAUCACUGUUGGCUGUCUUGCACAAGACUUCUACCCAAAGAGUCUUACUUUCCAGUGGACCAAUGCCAGUGGGAAAAGCCUGACUGCAGCUGUACAAUAUCCUCCAACUGAGAAAAACAACAAAUAUACAAGAGUCAGUUUGCUCACUGUAUCAAAAUCUGAUUGGGAUUCAAGGAGAACUUAUAGUUGUUCUGUGACUCACCACUCUCUUAUGUCUAUGGGUCCACCUACAUUAUCUUAUUCCACAGAGGACCCAUUGCCUCCAAAUGGAUCUGUCAAAAUGGAACUGAACCAACCAAGUCCCAAAGAAAUAUUUAACAACAACCAGGCAAUGUUUAAGUGUAUCGUUACUGGACAGGACCAGAAUGUUGUAAAUCAAAUUCAAAUCACUUGGCAAAUCAAUGGAUCCACUGUGACCAACAACAUCCCAACAACACAGAUGAGAAGCAGCAGAGUCAGCACAAUGACUCUUACCCUCACUGAGUGGUACAAAGUCAACAACGUGGGCUGUUCUGCCACGAAAGACGAUAUGACACUAGCUAGUCAAGAGCUGACUAUCCGCAAAGGAGAUGGGAGCGAGCCAAAAGUAACAGUCCACAUCCUCCCAGAUGAGGACAUCAUCGAUGAGGUCACUCUGGUGUGCCUGGUUUCCAAUCCAGAGCAGCAGGAUUACUACAUCGCCUGGUCAGAACAUAUUGGAAAAAACACCCCUAUCUAUACUGAUGGCAUUAACUUCCCCCCAGAGAAGACCGAAAAAGGCUACUCAGUUGCAAGUAUUUACACGACCACCAAAGACAAGUGGAACAACUUCACCAUGUUCUCCUGCCACGUAUGGCCUGGUAGAGGUGAAAAGCCUAUUCAAUCCAAAGAUGUGUCUAAGGCCAUGAGUAACUCCAUUGAAUAUUUUACUACUUUUCUGAGCUGCACAGAUGAUGCCUUUGAGGAGGAAGAGUACAGCAGCCUUUGGUUCACAGCCUUCUCCUUCGUAAUCCUCUUCAUAUCCUCUCUUCUCUAUAGCAUGAUAUUCAGCCUGGUCAAGAUGAAGAGAACAUAAAGGAUGUGAUGGAUGCACAGCAUGAUGACGACAGGUCUUCAUUUGUUUGUUGUCUUUUUUAUCUAAUUUUUAAAACCAUGUACAUAAUCGAUAAUCUACCUUAUAUUUGCCAA